rnacentral:rRNA from 1 species
CGCUGGGCCCUUGGGGUAGUCUUCUCGGCUUGCUCAUAACAACCAACUUUCUAUGACUCUGACCUCAAAUCAGGUAGGGCUACCCGCUGAACUUAAGCAUAUCAAUAAGCGGAGGAAAAGAAACUAACAAGGAUUCCCCUAGUAACGGCGAGUGAACCGGGAAGAGCUCAAAUUUGAAAUCUGGCGUCCUCAGGGCGUCCGAGUUGUAAUCUAUAGAGGCGUUUUCCGCGCCGGACCGUGUAUAAGUCUCCUGGAACGGAGUAUCAAAGAGGGUGACAAUCCCGUGCUUUACACGACGACCGGUGCUAUGUGAUACGUCUUCUACGAGUCGAGUUGUUUGGGAAUGCAGCUCAAAACGGGUGGUAAACUCCAUCUAAAGCUAAAUAUUGGUGGGAGACCGAUAGCGAACAAGUACCGUGAGGGAAAGAUGAAAAGCACUUUGGAAAGAGAGUUAAACAGUAUGUGAAAUUGUUGAAAGGGAAACGAUUGAAGUCAGUCGUGUCCAUUGGGUUCAGCCGGUCCUGCCGGUCUACUCCCUUUGGACGGGUCAACAUCAGUUCUGAUCGGCGGAUAAUGGCACGGGGAACGUAGCACCCUCCGGGGUGUGUUAUAGCCUCGCGUCGCAUACGCUGGUCGGGACUGAGGAACGCAGCUCGCCCUCACGGGCCGGGGUUCGCCCACGUCCGAGCUUAGGA